rnacentral:misc_RNA from 1 species
AACCUUAUGGACCUGCGGGCGUAUACCUGCGGAAGGAUCAUUAUUGAAUAAAUCUGGCGUGGUUGUAGCUGGCUCUUAGGAGCAUGUGCACGCCCGUCAUUUUUAUCUUUCCACCUGUGCACCCUUUGUAGAUCUGGAUAACCCUCGCUUACCGAAGCGGAUGCAAGGAUUGCUGUGUCGAAAGGCCGGCUCUCUUUGAAUUUCCAGGUCUAUGUCUUUUUACACACCCCAAUUGAAUGU